AUGCUGGCCGAGGCGCUCGCGGUCGCGGUCGACCGGCUGCCCGCCUCCUUCCCGCCGGCGGUGGCCGCCUUCCUGCGGCUGCUGCUCCGGGCGUGGGGCGCGCUCUCCGUGCCGCUGCUCCGGGGCGCCGUGAUGCUGUGCAUGGCCAUGUCGCUCAUGGUGCUCGCCGAGAAGGUCCUCCUCGGGACCGUCAGCGCCGCGGCCAAGCUGCUCCGCCGGCGCCGGCGGCCCGGGAGGCGCGACGUCCCCGUUCAGCCUGACGUCGAGGCUGGUGGAGGUGGUGGCUCCUCGGCCUGCUUCCCCAUGGUGCUCGUCCAGAUCCCCAUGUACAAUGAGAGAGAGGUGUACCAGCUCUCGAUCGGGGCGGCCUGCAGGCUCACGUGGCCGGCAGACCGAUUAAUUGUGCAGGUCCUCGACGACUCCACCGACGCCGCCAUCAAGGAGCUGGUGAGGGAGGAGUGCGAGCGGUGGGCCGGGAGCGGCGUGGACGUGAGGUACGAGGCCCGGGAGGACAGGGCCGGGCACAAGGCCGGCAACCUCACGGAGGGGAUGCGCCACGCCUACGCCCGCGGCUGCGAGUUCGUCGCCAUCUUCGACGCCGACUUCCAGCCCGCGCCGGACUUCCUCACCCGCACCGUGCCGCUCCUCCUCCGCCACCCCGGCCUCGCGCUCGUGCAGGCGCGCUGGGAGUUCGUGAACGCAGACGAGUGUCUGCUGACGAGGAUGCAGGAGAUGUCCAUGGACUACCACUUCAAGGUGGAGCAGCAAGCGGGGUCCUCACUCUGUAACUUCUUUGGAUAUAAUGGAAGCGCCGGAGUAUGGAGAAGGCAAGCCAUCGAGGAAUCGGGUGGGUGGGACGACCGGACCACCGCGGAGGACAUGGACCUGGCGCUCCGAGCGGCGCUCCUCGGCUGGGAAUUCGUCUACGUCGGCGACAUCAGGGUGAAGAGCGAGCUGCCGAGCUCUCUCGGGGCGUACCGGUCCCAGCAGCACCGGUGGUCGUGCGGGCCGGCGCUCCUCUUCAAGAAGAUGCUCCGGGAGAUCGUCGCCGCGGAGCGGGUGCCGGCGUGGAAGAAGCUCUACAUCGUGUACAACUUCUUCGUGACGCGGAGGGUGGUGUCCACCUUCUUCACCUUCUUCUUCUUCAGCGUGCUGCUGCCGGCCAAGACGCUGUUCCCGCAGGUGCGCAUCCCGGCGUGGCAGAUGGUGUGCGUCCCGACGGCCACGACGCUGCUCAACUCGGCAGGCACGCCGUGGCGCCGGUCGGCCCACCUGGUGGUGCCGUGGGUCGCGUUCGAGAACGCCAUGGCGCUGCACCGGUUCAAGGCCAUCCUCAUCGGGCUCUUCGAGGCCGGCCGGGCCAACGAGUGGAUCGUCACCCGCAAGUCCGGGAACGGUAGGCCGGCGCCGGGCGCGGAGGGCCGCCGUCUGAAACAGCGGUGCGGGCUCCAUUGGCUGGAGCUGCUGGUCGGCGCGCUGCUCCUGGCGUCCGGGUGCUACGACUGUGUGCACGGGCAUGGCUAUUUCUACCUGUUCGCGCUGCCCCAGUCGGUCAUGUACUUCGCCAUUGGGUUCGAGCUCUUGGGCGUCCAUCACGCUUCAUAG
rnacentral:rRNA from 1 species